UAUAGCUCACUAGUCGAGUCGGCCUGCGCGGAAGAUGUAACGGGGCUCAAACCACACACCGAAGCUGCGGGUGUCACGUAAGUGACGCGGUAGAGGAGCGUUCUGUAAGCCUGUGAAGGUGAGUUGAGAAGCUUGCUGGAGGUAUCAGAAGUGCGAAUGCUGACAUGAGUAACGACAAUGGGUGUGAAAAACACCCACGCCGAAAGACCAAGGGUUCCUGCGCAACGUUAAUCGACGCAGGGUUAGUCGGUUCCUAAGGCGAGGCUGAAAAGCGUAGUCGAUGGGAAACAGGUUAAUAUUCCUGUACUUCUGGUUACUGCGAUGGAGGGACGGAGAAGGCUAGGCCAGCUUGGCGUUGGUUGUCCAAGUUUAAGGUGGUAGGCUGAAAUCUUAGGUAAAUCCGGGGUUUCAAGGCCGAGAGCU
rnacentral:rRNA from 1 species